GCCUUCGUGGUGUAGUGGCAAGCACGCUCGAUACAUAACCGAGAGGUCCGUGGUUCGAUUCCUGGCGAAGGCG
rnacentral:tRNA from 1 species